CGUCGCGUGUGUUUGAUCGACUGUGUUUCAUAUUCUAAUUAACAAAAUUGUCAUUUUUUUCUUAGAUAUUCUGUAAAAUAUCAAAUAGAACAGUGGUAAUCAUGAGUGAUAGACCGAGUAACGGCGAAUAUGAAUUUAAAAGGGAAGAAAAUGAUGACACGAAUAUACGUGAUUCGUCGGAGAAAGAUCGUGAGGACAAGGAGCAUCAAGUUGACAAAGCCGGAGAAUAUGUCCGUGAACUUUUACAAGAAAAAGUAGAAUUGGAUUCACAGAAAUGGCCAAAUGCAACCAGAUUAAUCGAUCAGGAAAUUCAGAAAACUCAAGCUAUGGGGAAACCAAUAAGGGAUCCGAAGUAUGUGGAUAUUUAUCGUGAAAAACAAAUUCGUGUUUCGGUUAAAGUAUUGGUACCAGUACGGGAGCACCCAAAGUUUAACUUUGUUGGAAAGUUAUUGGGUCCAAAAGGUAACUCUAUGAAACGUUUGCAAGAAGAAACUAUGUGUAAGAUGGCAGUAUUAGGAAGAGGAUCAAUGAAAGAUCGUCAAAAGGAAACCGAGUGUCGAAUGUCAUUGGACCCAAAAUAUGCACAUCUGUCCGACGAUCUUCAUGUCGAAAUAACGGCUCUCGCGCCCCCCGCGGAAGCUUAUGCUCGUAUUGCGUUCGCAUUAGCGGAAGUUCGAAAGUAUCUGAUUCCCGAUAACAACGACAAUAUACGGCAAGAGCAAAUGCGAGAAAUGGAGAUGAGCAUGGCUGACGAUCCCCUGAACUCUGACGACAGAAGACCAUCGGUCAGAGGUGUCCCAACCGGAGGAGGAAUGUUAAGGCCCUCCGCUAGGCCCGCGUUAUCACGAUCAUCGAGAGCUGCGAUACUUCCGCCGCCGUCGAGUCGAGGUCCAAUCUCUCGGCCCGUAACAGCGAAAAGUAAAAUAUUCUCUAUUUUGGAUCGCGCAAGGGUCGCUAUGGACCAAAGCUAUGACUAUGAGGCCGCUACUCCGCCACCGAGCAAUCGCGUUGGGUCGCAUCACGAUUAUGAUUACCAUGGGUCGACGAGUAGCAGUAGUCGAUACGGGGAUCGUCAUUACACGCCAACCUCGGGGUACACAACGUACGAGUACGAUGAUGACUCUGUUCCGCACUCUUCUCACGAGUACUAUGAAACAUCCGAAUAUCCAGAGGAAUCAUCGAGCCGCGCAUGGAAAUCGUACAAGACGACAACGACAUCGGGCUCAAGCUCGCGCUACCGCAACACUCCGUACUCACGACCUUCCAAGUAAAAAAUCCAAGCAAAACAGUCAUCCUAUGAUUUCUCUUAAUCUCUUCUUCUACUUCUUCUUCUUGACGUUUUCUUUCAUGCGAUAAUACGCAACGCUUAACGAGAGAAGGAUUUUGUUUCUGACUUUAUUAUUUCAUAGCCCUAAACCGUUGACGUGUAACCUUCCUAACGCACGACGACCGUUGGUACCUGCGAUGCCAAAACCCAUAAACGACCGAGACCGUUUUUAAAACGAACGGAGACAUGGAAGAGACUAAAAACCACGAUGAAUUUAUCGUGGCCGCUGGAUAAGCCGGAACACGUAAUACAAUGAAAACUGUAAUCAAAGUGUCGCGGCGACUUCAAUGCCACUUUUCUCGCGUACGAUCACAUGCUAAUUCGCACCCGGUACAGAGUCUGAAUUACUUUUUUGACGUUGCGUUGAUUCCGUACUUCUGAUUCUCUGUGAAAGACUACAGAGAAAAAAUUAAAAGAAAAAAUCAACCCACUCCUUGAAAUCCCUUCCUUGAAUGUGUUACACAUCAAAACUGGAAGGCUAAAAGGACCAAGAGGAUCAAAUGGAGAAUGAAAAAACAAGUAAAUCCGUCGAAUAAGCCUGUAUCAUUGCACAAUUUAUCAGCAAAGAAAGUCAGAGCUGUGUCAGAUUUCAUCGACUUUUUUUUUAUGAAUAUGAUAGAAUUUCGUAAUUUUCUUUUAUUAUACUAUUUUAUACGUGUACUUAAGUUUUCGUCGUCUAGAUUGAUAGUGUGUUGGAAACUCUGCGACCGUAGUGACACGAUAUAUUGAGAAUCUCUAAGUAUUUUAAAGAAUCGAACUUUUGUACACGUUCUUCGAAAAUUUACUCUUUGGUUUUUUAUUGGUCGCACAGGGGUUAGACGUUGAUGUGCGAAGAGAAAUACACAGC
rnacentral:misc_RNA from 1 species